AUGGCGACCACAGACGCCGCCGCCGCCGCCGCCCCAGCACCCGCGGUUUCCCUCGACGAGACCAAGGCAAAGAAUGUCCUCCGCCAGGUGGAGUUCUACUUCAGCGACAGCAACCUCCCCCGCGACGGUUUCCUGCGGAAGACCGUCGAGGAGAGCGAGGAUGGAUUGGCGAGCUUGGCUCUCAUCUGCUCCUUCGCGAAGAUGAGGUCGCACCUUGGCCUAGAUGCCACCGUGAAGGAGGACGGCGUGCCAGAGACGACAGUGCUUGCGGUCGCCAAGGUGCUGCGGUGUUCUGCAGCCCUCCGUGUCUCCGAGGACGGGAAGAGAGUUGGGAGAGCAAACAAGUUGUUGAAGCCAGAUGAGAUUAUAGUGCAAAUUGACUCAAGGUCAAUUGCUGUGUCACCACUUCCUCACAACGUAAAGCUGGAAGAUGUUCAAUCUUUCUUUGCUCAGUAUGGCAAGGUUAACAGCGUAAGGCUACCAAAACAUGUUUCUGACAAGAGGCAGUUCUGCGGCACAGCUUUGGUCGAAUUUUCGGAAGAAGAUGAAGCGAACAAUAUCAUGAAUAACAAACUUAGUUUUGCUGGAGCGGAUCUGGAAAUAAAAACAAAGAAGGAAUUUGAUGCUGAAAUGGAGGCUAAGAAAGAAGCUUAUGAGAAGUCGCACCCUAAUACACACGCUAAUAAGAACGGUCAUGACGAAGGAUACCCAAAAGGUCUGAUUCUGUCUUUCAAGCUGAAGAGAAUUCUAGCUGAUGGUGACACAGAACAAAAUGGUGGGGACAAAGUUGAUAAUAGCGAUGAUGCCAAGAAGGAAGGGGCUUCCGACUCUUCGGAGGAAUCGGGGAAAGCUUCUGAAGAGAAGGCCCCUGAGAACACUGAUGCCAAGGAAGAGAAGUCAGCUGAUGCUGAGGAGUUGAAGGGGUCGGAUGCACAAUCUGUUAAAAAGGAUGAUAAAAGCCUUUCAGAAAAUGACAAGGAACCAGUUUCAAGGGAGGACUUCAAAGAAUAUUUUGCCAAAUUUGGCACAGUGCGGUACGUGGACUUCAGUAAGGGGGAUAUUUCAGGAUACCUUAGGUUUGAGGAAUCGACGGCUGCGGAAAAGGCCCGUGCAUUUGCAGCUCUUGCGGAUGAAGGUGGUUUGGUUAUGAAGGGGCACCUUGUCACUUUGGAACCUGUGUCUGGACAAGCUGAGAAAGAUUAUUGGAGUGGAAUAAAGGGCGGCCAAGGGAGAUUCAAUAACAAUAAUAGAAGCAACAGGGGAGGAAGGAAGAACAACAGAGGUGGCGGCGGAAGGCACCACGGUGGUGGGAAGCGGGGUGGUCGCCACUCUGACAACCAUGAAAGGGCUAACAAAGUCCAAAAGCUCGAUUCGUCUCCUUAG
rnacentral:rRNA from 1 species